rnacentral:rRNA from 1 species
ACGCGAGGAACCUUACCAGGUCUUGACAUCCUCUGACAACCCUAGAGAUAGGGCGUUCCCCUUCGGGGGACAGAGUGACAGGUGGUGCAUGGUUGUCGUCAGCUCGUGUCGUGAGAUGUUGGGUUAAGUCCCGCAACGAGCGCAACCCUUGUUCUUAGUUGCCAUCAUUUAGUUGGGCACUCUAAGGAGACUGCCGGUGACAAACCGGAGGAAGGUGGGGAUGACGUCAAAUCAUCAUGCCCCUUAUGACCUGGGCUACACACGUGCUACAAUGGACGGUACAAACGGUUGCCAACCCGCGAGGGGGAGCUAAUCCGAUAAAACCGUUCUCAGUUCGGAUUGUAGGCUGCAACUCGCCUACAUGAAGCCGGAAUCGCUAGUAAUCGCGGAUCAGCAUGCCGCGGUGAAUACGUUCCCGGGCCUUGCACUCACCGCCCGU